rnacentral:rRNA from 1 species
AAACCCAAGAAAUUAAGUAACAAAACCACUCGCCAGAGCACUACGAGCCAAAGCUUAAAACUCAAAGGACUUGGCGGUGCUUUAUAUCCAUCUAGAGGAGCCUGUUCUGUAAUCGAUAAACCCCGAUAAACCUCACCAACCCUUGCCAACUCAGCCUAUAUACCGCCAUCUUCAGCAAACCCUAAAAAGGAAAUAAAGUAAGCACAAACACAGCAUGUAAAAACGUUAGGUCAAGGUGUAGCCUAUGGGUUGGAAGAAAUGGGCUACAUUCCCUAUAAAAGGUCACCCACUACAUAAACGGACAUUAUUGUGAAACCAAUAAUUAAAGGUGGAUUUAGUAGUAAAUUAAGAACAGAGAGC